GGGUGAGUAACGCGUAGGCAACCUGCCCUUUAGACGGGGACAACAUUCCGAAAGGGAUGCUAAUACCGGAUGUGACGCUCUUAUCGCAUGACGGGAGCGUGAAAGAUGGCCUCUACAUGUAAGCUAUCGCUAAAGGAUGGGCCUGCGUCUGAUUAGCUAGUUGGUAGUGUAACGGACAACCAAGGCGAUGAUCAGUAGCCGGUCUGAGAGGAUGAACGGCCACAUUGGGACUGAGACACGGCCCAGACUCC
rnacentral:rRNA from 1 species